GUAAUGUCUGGGAAACUGCCUGAUGGAGGGGGAUAACUACUGGAAACGGUAGCUAAUACCGCAUAACGUCGCAAGACCAAAGAGGGGGACCUUCGGGCCUCUUGCCAUCGGAUGUGCCCAGAUGGGAUUAGCUAGUAGGUGGGGUAACGGCUCACCUAGGCGACGAUCCCUAGCUGGUCUGAGAGGAUGACCAGCCACACUGGAACUGAGACACGGUCCAGACUCCUACGGGAGGCAGCAGUGGGGAAUAUUGCACAAUGGGCGCAAGCCUGUUGCAGCCAUGCCGCGUGUAUGAAGAAGGCCUUCGGGUUGUAAAGUACUUUCAGCGGGGAGGAAGGUGUUGAGGUUAAUAACCUCAGCAAUUGACGUUACCCGCAGAAGAAGCACCGGCUAACUCCGUGCCAGCAGCCGCGGUAAUACGGAGGGUGCAAGCGUUAAUCGGAAUUACUGGGCGUAAAGCGCACGCAGGCGGUCUGUCAAGUCGGAUGUGAAAUCCCCGGGCUCAACCUGGGAACUGCAUUCGAAACUGGCAGGCUAGAGUCUUGUAGAGGGGGGUAGAAUUCCAGGUGUAGCGGUGAAAUGCGUAGAGAUCUGGAGGAAUACCGGUGGCGAAGGCGGCCCCCUGGACAAAGACUGACGCUCAGGUG
rnacentral:rRNA from 1 species